rnacentral:rRNA from 1 species
UACGUAGGGUGCAAGCGUUGUCCGGAAUUAUUGGGCGUAAAGAGCUCGUAGGCGGUCUGUCGCGUCGGUUGUGAAAACUCGGGGCUCAACCCCGAGCCUGCAAUCGAUACGGGCAGACUAGAGUGCUGUAGGGGAGACUGGAAUUCCUGGUGUAGCGGUGAAAUGCGCAGAUAUCAGGAGGAACACCGGUGGCGAAGGCGGGUCUCUGGGCAGUAACUGGCGCUGAGGAGCGAAAGCGUGGGGAGCAAGCAGG